AGUGAACGCUGGCGGUAGGUCUAACACAUGCAAGUCGAACGGCAGCACAGUAAGAGCUUGCUCUUACGGGUGGCGAGUGGCGGACGUGUGAGGAAUACAUCGGAAUCUACUUUUUCGUGGGGGAUAACGUAGGGAAACUUACGCUAAUACCGCAUACGACCUACGGGUGAAAGCAGGGGAUCUUCGGACCUUGCGCGAUUGAAUGAGCCGAUGUCGGAUUAGCUAGUUGGCGGGGUAAAGGCCCACCAAGGCGACGAUCCGUAGCUGGUCUGAGAGGAUGAUCAGCAACACUGGAACUGAGACACGGUCCAGACUCCUACGGGAGGCAGCAGUGGGGAAUAUUGGACAAUGGGCGCAAGCAUGAUCCAGCCAUACCGCGUGGGUGAAGAAGGCCUUCGGGUUGUAAAGCCCUUUUGUUGGGAAAGAAAAGCAGCAGGUUAAUACCCAGCUGUUCUGACGGUACCCAAAGAAUAAGCACCGGCUAACUUCGUG
rnacentral:rRNA from 1 species